rnacentral:rRNA from 1 species
CGGUAACAGGAAGCAGCUUGCUGCUUCGCUGACGAGUGGCGGACGGGUGAGUAAUGUCUGGGAAGCUGCCUGAUGGAGGGGGAUAACUACUGGAAACGGUAGCUAAUACCGCAUAAUGUCGCAAGACCAAAGAGGGGGACCUUCGGGCCUCUUGCCAUCGGAUGUGCCCAGAUGGGAUUAGCUUGUUGGUGGGGUAACGGCUCACCAAGGCGACGAUCCCUAGCUGGUCUGAGAGGAUGACCAGCCACACUGGAACUGAGACACGGUCCAGACUCCUACGGGAGGCAGCAGUGGGGAAUAUUGCACAAUGGGCGCAAGCCUGAUGCAGCCAUGCCGCGUGUAUGAAGAAGGCCUUCGGGUUGUAAAGUACUUUCAGCGGGGAGGAAGGGAGUAAAGUUAAUACCUUUGCUCAUUGACGUUACCCGCAGAAGAAGCACCGGCUAACUCCGUGCCAGCAGCCGCGGUAAUACGGAGGGUGCAAGCGUUAAUCGGAAUUACUGGGCGUAAAGCGCACGCAGGCGGUUUGUUAAGUCAGAUGUGAAAUCCCCGGGCUCAACCUGGGAACUGCAUCUGAUACUGGCAAGCUUGAGUCUCGUAGAGGGGGGUAGAAUUCCAGGUGUAGCGGUGAAAUGCGUAGAGAUCUGGAGGAAUACC